rnacentral:tRNA from 1 species
UGGUGGUGAAAUUGGUAGACACAAGGGAUUUAAAAUCCCUCGACUUUCGAGUCGUGCCAGUUCAAGUCCGGAUUUAUCAA